rnacentral:rRNA from 1 species
CCUACGGGUGGCAGCAGUGGGGAAUAUUGCACAAUGGGCGAAACCCUGAUCCAGCGACGCCGCGUGAGUGAAGAAGUAUUUCGGGAUGUAAAGCUCUAUUAGCAGGGAAGAAAAUGACGGUACGUGCCUAAGAAGCCACGGCUACCUACGUGCAAGCAGCAGCGGUAAUACUUAGGGGGCACGCGUUAUCCGGAUUUAUUGGGUGUAAAGGGAGCGUAGACGGUCAGACAAGUCAGAAGUGAAAGCCCAGGGCUCAACCCUGGGACUGCAUUUGAAACUGGCGUGCUGGAGUGCGGGAGAGGUAAGCGGAAUGCCUGGUGUAGCGGUGAAAUGCGUAGAUAGUAGGAGGAACACCAGUGGCGAAGGCGGCUUACUGGACUGUAACUGACGUUGAGGCUCGAAAGCGUGGGGAGCAAACAGGAUUAGAUACCCUAGUAGUC